rnacentral:tRNA from 1 species
GCACCGGUGGCUCAGUGGUAGAAUUCUCACCUCCCAUGUGGGAGACCCAGGUUCCAUUCCUGGUCAAUACA